GCCGGUAUAGCUCAGCUGGCAGAGCAACUGACUUGUAAUCAGUAGGUCCCGGGUUCGACUCCUGGUGCCGGCACCA
rnacentral:tRNA from 1 species